rnacentral:lncRNA from 1 species
UCCUGACCCUCUCCGCCAUUUAAAGAAACAGUACCGGGGGCGGGCCGAGCGACGCAGCCGGGACGGUAGCUGCGGCGCAGACCGGAGGAGCCAUCUUGUCUCGUCGCCGGGGAGUCAGGCCCCUAACUCGAAGAAGCCCUGGCGCGCCCUCCCCCCCUUCCCGGUCUGUCCUGUGCCUCCUGAUUGCUGAGUGUUCACCUGGAUCUUCUGACCACCUUCCUUGUGCUCUUCCGUCAGCCUACAGAUGUGGUACCUGGAUUUUUGCCCAUGGUGAUUGCUACCACCUUACUACUGAAGAAGACAUCAUUCCAGUGGACACUGUGACCCAAGAGGCAUUCAGCCAUCAUGAUGUGGCCUUUACCUCCACUCCUGUCCUGUUCUACCCAGAUUCAGCACAGCCCUUUAUAGUAAAGUCAAACUCUUCAAGCCAAAUAGCUGAAGUUGUUUUAUCACGACAAAGGCCCAGUUUGUUCCAUGAGUGUGCAUUUCGUUUCUUCGGUUCGAGCCUUCAGAGACACAUGAUAAAUUUGGACCAGGGGACUUUUAGUUAUCAACACUGUCUGAAGCAUGGCAACAUCUUUUUGAGAACAACAUUGGACCACACCCCAUAAUCUCAAAUGAUUGAAGUUCAUGAAGUGUCUAGGAUCCCAUUGAGAUCACUGGACUCUGUCCCUUUUGCUUCAAAUCUGUAGUAGCCUACUGAAUGAGAAAGCAGAUAUUAUGACCCAUUGGGAUUAAAACGGGCACAAUGAACUCCUCAUAGCAUCUUCUUUGGGAUUACUCAGGAACCAGAACUUUUCACACAAAUGUAAGAAAUUCUACCAAGGAAUCCCUUUGCCUAACAGCAUCUCACACAGCUCCAAUCAGAUGCCAGAAAAGGCCUCUUGAUACAUCCAGCAUUUUGUGAACACCUUAUUCUUAGAUCAUUGGUUUUCCAAAGGCUUUGUGGCCGUGAAGCCCUUUGAAUGAAAACUGUGUGGAAGCCCAGAGUAAGAGUGAAGCUGCUCUGGAUGAAGCAGGAGUAGGGGGCCUGAAACCUGCCACAAGCAUCUUCUUUUACCACCAUGGUGACACCUAAGGAGACUUCUUUACAACAGCUAGAAUUCUGCAGAACACAGUUUGAAAACCACUGCCCUAGACAGCAAUAUGUUCGACCUGAAUGACAUUUUCAUCUAUACCUCUGCCGAAACAGUCCAAGUUCAGUUGUUGCCGAACAUUCUAAGGGAUACUAACUAUGAGCCAACUCAGAAAAGGCCAAGAAGAUGGGCGUGUCUUUGCCCCCCAGAGUCAUAUGGGCUGAAAGUGGUAUCAGAUGGACCUAGAUUAACAGCCCUCUGCCCUAGAUGGACUUCCACUCAUUCCUGGAAUUGGAUAGAACCAGAGAACAAUUCAUAUGUACUCUACACUGACAAACCCCUUUACCCAACUUCUUUCACACACACCAGAUGUUCUAGUGGUACUUGAAAUACAUGACUUGGAAGUCUUGAUCCUCCUUAGAUACCUGAAUUGCCAGGUAUUGAAGCUGAUAUUGAAGUUGAUGCCUCAUUGAGGCCAUAUUAGACCAACUUGUACGUUGAACCUCCCGUCAUCGGCCAUGGUACUGUACUUCGUGUGCAAGGGAUAACCAUUAACUAUGAAAGCAAAAUUCAGAUACUGGCAACGUUACCUAAAAGGGUACCUGGUUAUCAUUCAUCUUAAACUACAAGUCACUGUGACUCAACCAGUGGCAGUUACACUGCUCCUUGGUUUUUAUUCAGUUUAACUGCUGUUUCCAAGAUAAAUGAGCUAAUAACCUUAAAAAAAAAAGUUAAAACAAUUUCUCCAUCACUGGCAUUUCUGCCUGUUCUGUUCCAAAAAUUAUGAAUACUCAGCUCUAACUGCAUGUAACCCCGAUCCACAAGAGACAAUCUUUGAAUAUCCUUACUUGGGUGUAAUUUAAAAUGUGGCUGUUUGGAAAAUUUUCUUCUAGCCCACAAGGGAUGUUCUUUUAAGAUAGAUCUUUUGAUGUCUGGUACUAUCAAGUAUAGAUGUUAGGGAUAUUUGGAGGUAGGCCUGUUGGCCAGGCCAUGAUGACUGACUUGCUUGGCAUCUCAAAUUGCAUAUCAUCUACCUUUUUGGUGGAAAUGUAGAAUGACUUGAAAAAAAGUCUACAAAGCUUGCAGCUAAGUAUUAUCAGUAGACUCAAGAGCUUCCUGCUGCUGCUGCUUAAUGUCACAAGACCACAGUCCCUCGUCCUUGUGGAUGUUUUAAUGGAAUUUCAUCUGUCUCAGUGCUGUUGUUUCACACUUAUUCACAGUGGCUGACUUCAUUCCUUGCCGUGAGAUAUUCUCAGGCUUUAAGACAAUUUAUCUGUUUCUGCAGGAAGGAUUCCAUUUAUGAACUCCCAGACCAAAUCACAUCAAACAAGUAGACUUCGAUUUGUGUCAUGAAAGAAAUCUCAUUCCUUUACUACACAGUCAACGUAAGGGCCAGCUGUCCUCAACUACUUUAACAAAUGCACUGGUUAAAUGUUGGGAAAGGUUUCUUUAUGUCUUUGUCUCUUAUCCUUAUGGUGGUUACAUGACUGGGUCUACAAAUCAUCAAACAAGGCCUAAGUCUGUUUACUCUAGACUGUUCACCCUCAACAAAUAAAAAAUCUGAUGACUAGCCUGCUUGUAUAUACAACUAUUAUUUGUAAAGAAGAAAUCAUCUACAAACUAAGUUUUUCUACUACCUUCAAAACGUCAGCUCAAUUUUCUCUUUCUCUGUACUUUACAGAAAAAGAUAUUCAUCUACACUGCCAGUCAUUCCCUUUAAUCCUGUCAAAAUGAGGGGCUUAAGAAUGAGGAUGAUCGUCUGUUCUAGAGUCUAAUGAACACUGUAUAAGAGUUGAUGGUUGAAAAACCAAAACGCCUGAAACUCAAACCUAGUAUCUUGCCUACUAUCUCCAUGCCUCAGAUCUCAUCAGUCAACCAAUCUGAGGCCUUGACUUAUAUAUAAGGUGAUUCUCACAGAUAGGCUGAGUUACAGAGGAUGGAGACUUGAUUACCAAAGAAAGUAGGGCCAAUCUUGAUAAACCUGGCUCUCCCAACCUUAUCAAUCCCAGAUGUAGCAUAGGUUCCUAAACAGAACCUCAAGUCUGAAUUGAGGAUAAAGCCGUCUCCUGAGCUGAAAGCUCUGGGGAAAUGAACAGGAAAAUGAAAGCUGCUGUGCCUGACUGGCCCUUUAAGAUCAGAAAAAUGUAUCCAGAGUAAAGCCUGUGGAUUAACCCUGGAGUACUCAGGAUAAGAACUGAUUUACAGAGCUUCAAUAGUCAUCAUCCUGUUCUUCCAGAUCACGUCUGGCUAAUAGUAUGGCUGGCCCUGCUGAUGGUACCCUACUUGCCUGGUUACCUGAUUCAGCCCUUGCCUGCCUUUUUGGACAUGUUGCUGCAAACAGACUGACUGUGCUUGAGAAGACUACCAGUGAUCUUGGCCUAACUUAUACCCAGGCCCACCAAGGAAUUUUGAACAGAAGCAACCUGCACCUCAGCCUACCAGGACUUAAUGUUCACAACAGGAAGGACCAUUCUGUGUAAUCCUUGACCAACAGCUUUUUCUUGUUGUUAAGUGCAGAGUAAGCCUCUACACCUGUAUUUGAUUGUUUUCAGCACCUGGGACCCCUUUGAUCAGAUCUGCAGGAGUACAGCAGAUUGAAAUCAUUGUCCAUUCCUCUCUCGUGCACUAAUACAGAGAUGAGUCUGAUUCAUCAGCACUCACAGAAAUGUACCAGUUCAACUUGGCAAAAGACUUAACACAAGAAAACUCUUCCACUGAACUUAAAAUUUACCACUGACUUGAAUAGCCUCACAGAACUGUUCACUGGUGGGAGGCUAGUUAUCCUGCUUUAUGUCAGCAAGACAGUUGGGCCUUCAGACUCAUGACCACUGAGUUUACUUAUAUUGAAACUCUGUUGUAUCAUCCAGAGUAUGCUAUUGAACAUGAUUGUUUCAUUCAAAUGGAUUACAAACUUCCUGUGAACAGGACAAACUUACUCCUCAUGAUGUUCUUCCAGAGUAUUAUCGAGGAAGUAACAAUGUUAGCAUCAACUUUAUGACCAGAGAUUAAACUUUUGCGUUAUCUGGUCUUAUCAUUGGCAGGAGUUGUUUUUGAUUGACCAGCAUCCAUUCCAUCUCUUUGUAACAACUCCCUGAUGUUUCUUGGAACCAUAUUUACCUGUUUUCAGUCCACAUGGUUCAGACCUGAUCCAUCAGCAUAGUCCAUCUCCUUGACUGUAGUGAUUGGUUCAGGAAUGUUCAUGUGAUUCAAGUUGGUCUAGUGAUACUGAAGCCCAGGAAUUUUACUGAACUGUGGAGGAGGAGAAGCUCAGAAGCUCUCUUUAUUGAAGUCGCUUAGCUUUGUAAGAUGAAAAACUCAAACCACCAGGGCCCACCAUAUCAAAUGAGCCAGUCAGAAAGUGCCAGUGCAGAAGAAAGCAGAGCCAAAUGAUGGAGAGACUUGAGUCCUGAUAACAAAGUUUGUGCCCCUGGAUCCAACCGUGCCUGAAGCUAGUAUAUCCCCUGGACUUUUCAGUUAUGUGAACCAAUAAAUACCCUGUUUUGCUUAAGUUACUUUGAGUUGGGUUUCUCUUGCUUGAAAUUGAGUCCUACCUGAUACAGUAUCUACCAAUAUCGAAACUUGACAGAUCCAAGUAUUUAUUAAAUUAGAGCUUAUGGCCAUACUGAAAUUAUCUUCCAAAUCGGAACGCAAAAUGAGACAGGAACUGACAAUAUUCAAGUUACUACAGAAGUAUGAAAAUUACAUGGUAGAAAAAUGUAGAAGAAAACUUAAAAGUUUAUCAAAAGGAUUGGUUAAAUAACACAUGGUUCAGCC